rnacentral:lncRNA from 1 species
AUCGCACUCAAAGCCAGAAAUAAAAGUACAGAGUAUCAGUCACGGAGCCACAAGAUCCUGGACACCAGUGCCAAACUCCGAUCCCGCAGGGUAUUUGGAAAAUCGUCCCAGGUAAGAAGCUCUCAGGUGCACUAUUACUUAAAAAAAAAAAAAUCGCAGAGACAGGAACAGUUAGCAAACUCUGCCCAGCGAUCCGGAGCACGAGGCUGUGCAGUCCAGGGGCCGGCGACCGGGAAGAGGGUUGGGGCCACUCUCCCGACAGCUCCGGGCUCGGGGCGGUGGGACCCCGGCGCUUCUUCACCAGCAGCGGCGGCGGUGGCGCCCGCGGGGCAGAGUCCCCUGCGGGUCGGCCCCGCAUUCCUGCCCAGGUCUAUACUUAACCUCCGGCCCGCGCCCGCGGCCGCCGCGCGCGCCGUGCACCGUAUUAGGCAAUGCAGGGCGAGCACGGCCCGGCCCCCGCCCGCUCCAUUCAAGCCCCGAGGCGCAGCGCCCUCCCCACGACGGCCGCCCGCGCCCCUUCCUGCGCCGCAAGCACCCUGCGCCGCAAAUACCCCGCGCCGCGACCACCCCGCUACCCGCGCGCACGCGCACCGGCCCCUCGCCGCCCCUCCCGGGAGCCGGGCACGCUCUGCCAGCGACCAGAGCGCGCAAAGUCGGGGCGCGGCGGCGGGAGGGCCCCUCUGGGCGCUCGUACCCCGCGGUCAUGGCGAUGUUGUAGAAGGUGAGCCAGAUAGUGGCCAACAAGCCCAGGCGCCUCCGCUUGCCCACCGCCUCCCUCUCCUCGCUCGCCUCCGAGGCGCCGCCGUUGGUGCCGUCCUCCUCGCUGGACGCCAUGGCGGCCGCGCAGCCGGGGACGUGGACGAGAGGGACAGGGGAGCGGAGGGCCCGGCCGAGCGCGCCGCUGAAGCGCCGCCGCCCGCUGCCGCCGCCUCCGUCAGGCGCCCCAUGUGCCGCGCGCAGGGGCUCAGCGCCGCCAGACCGGCCGCCCGCAGUGGGAGGAGCGGGCGCCCCGGCCGCCGCCCCGCCCCUGCCCGCGGGAGCGCGCGCCGCGCGAAGGCCGGCCCGCCUGGCCUGGGCGCGGGGCGCGGGGUCCUGGGGGCGCGGGGUUCUGGGAGCCCCUGGUUGGGAUCUCUUGGCCCUCUACCGGGAAACCUCACGGACUGGGGAACCUCCUCUUAG